AGUGGCGGACGGGUGAGUAACGCGUAGAGUAACCUGCCUUGGAGUGGGGAAUAACAGCCGGAAACGGCUGCUAAUACCGCAUGAUGUAUCUGGAUCGCAUGGUUCUGGAUACCAAAGAUUUAUCGCUCUGAGAUGGACUCGCGUCUGAUUAGCUAGUUGGUGAGGUAAUGGCUCACCAAGGCGACGAUCAGUAGCCGGACUGAGAGGUUGGCCGGCCACAUUGGGACUGAGACACGGCCCAGACCCCUACGGGAGGCAGCAGUGGGGAAUAUUGGGCAAUGGGCGAAAGCCUGACCCAGCAACGCCGCGUGAAGGAAGAAGGCCCUCGGGUUGUAAACUUCUUUUGUCAGGGACGAAGCAAGUGACGGUACCUGACGAAUAAGCCACGGCUAACUACGUGCCAGCAGCCGCGGUAAUACGUAGGUGGCAAGCGUUAUCCGGAUUUACUGGGUGUAAAGGGCGUGUAGGCGGGAGUGCAAGUCAGAUGUGAAAACUAUGGGCUCAACCCAUAGCCUGCAUUUGAAACUGUACUUCUUGAGUGAUGGAGAGGCAGGCGGAAUUCCCUGUGUAGCGGUGAAAUGCGUAGAUAUAGGGAGGAACACCAGUGGCGAAGGCGGCCU
rnacentral:rRNA from 1 species